rnacentral:lncRNA from 1 species
AGUCUGACCCAGUUCCAGGCCCUGGCCUGGCCUCAGCGCCGACCUCGACGUGAGUGAAUGAAAAAAACAUAGCAAUUAUACCUUCUUUCCAUGAUCUAUUUAUUUCAAUAAAUUACAUUACAGUGUCAUUAAUUUGCAGUCCUGUUUUCUCUUGCUGUUUGUUUUUCCCUCUCCGCAGAGGCAGCCCCAGCCCCAUCCCGAGCCCCAGCCCCAGCCCCGGAGGAGGAGGAGGAGGAGGAGGAGGAGGAGGAGGAGCCUUCGUCCCCAGAGCAGGAAGCCCCGCCCAGAGCCCCAGCCCCAGCCCCAAUACCGGCCCCGGAGGAGGAGGAGGAGGAGGAGGAGGAGGAGGAGGAGGAGGAGGAGGAGGAGGAUGAAGAGGAGGAGGAGGAGGAGCAGCAGCAGGAGAAGCACACCCGGAAAGCGGUCCGUAGAAAACUGCCAUUUGGCACUCUUGGGAAAAAAAGCAAGAUGUCAAAUGAAGCUGCUGCUGCUGAGGAGGAGAAGGAGGAGGAGGAGGAGGAGGAGGAAGAGGAGGAUGGAGGAGGAGGAGGCACCAGGGAUGUGUCGGCCUCACGGGUGUUGAUGUCCCUGCUCAAAGGGAAGAGCAGGGGCUCAACAAUUAGGAAAAUUACGUUUGGGACCUCCAUGGACACUUACCUGGAGGAGUACGGGGCCUACCUUUUCUGCCCGGAAGGGACCCCCAAAAUGGUUCAAAACAGCGUGUCGAAGGCCAGCCGAGCAAAGGUGUUCCUGAAAUACCUGACGCUCGGCUGGCCUUCGAUCAAAUAUUGGAGUUGGCAGUUUUUGUUCAACAUCCCCCUAAUAAAGACCUACCCUGCUGCCCUGAGAGCGGCUGGCCUGGCCCCGACAACCAUCGUGUUAUACGUGGGCCAGGCCAUCUCCUUUUUGGAAUAUUUCCGGGACACCCCAGCUAAAUACUCCCGGGUGACCAACGGCCAGCUGGUCAUGGUCACCCGGGAGUUAAGGAAGCUAUUGAAGGACUUGAACCGGAACGUCCUUGGCCACCAGUCCCUGGUGAAACAGGGCAAACUAUUGAGACUGGUGGCCAAGGAGGACCUGGCCAAGUGCCAGGUGAUGGCCAAAGAAAAGAUCCCCUCUCUCCUCGCGGACAUGAAAGCGGCGCCCCCCAGGGACCCAAAGACCCGGUACCGGUUCUUUGGGUACCUGGUGGCCUACCUAUCCUCAAUCUACGGGCACAGGUCGGGGGUGCUGACCCGGAUGAGGGUCAGGGAGGUGCAGGACGCGAUCGGGGACGAGGACACGGGCUACCUCAUUAAUGUCAUGGAGCACAAGACGGUGCGUAAAUUUGGGGUGGCCCAGGUGUACCUCGAGGCCGGCGAGUACGCCUGGUGCCGGGAGUGGCUCCGCCUGCGGGUGCGCUCCGUGCCACAAAACAAGUUUUUUUUUACGUCCUUCGGCAAGGGGGAGCCGAAGGACCUGAUUAAAUAUUUUCGACGAGCUUGGGGGGCGAUGGGCCUCCCCGGCUCCCCGAGUCUAAUGGACAUCAGGUCGGCCGUGGCCACAUACAACUUUGAGACCAACGACGCCGAGGUACGCAGGAGCCUAGGGGACUUCAUGUGCCACGACAUCAGGACCCAGGAGCGCUUCUACGCGCUCCAUAAGAACCUUUCAAGGGCGAAGCAGAUGAGGGACCUCUUCAUCCGCCUUGCGCAGCGAGAGCCCUCAUCUGCUUCCUCCUCCUCCGAUCCUGCUGCAGGCUCCUCCUCCUCCUCCGCUCCUGCUGCAGGCUCCUCCUCCUCCGCUCCUGCUGCAGGCUCCUCCUCCUCCGCUCCUCACGCAGGCUGCUCCUCCUCCUCCUCUGCCCCUGCUGCAGGCUGCUCCUCCUCCUCCUCUGCUCCUGCUGCAGGCUCCUCCUCCUCCCCCGCUCCUCCUGGCUCCGUGAGGAGGAGGCUUCGGCCAUCUGCCACGCAGAGGAUGGCCCAGAGGGUGAAGGAGAAAAGGGGGAUUUCUCCAAAAAAGAGUUGCCGCGUGUUCAUCAAGAGACUGUGAACCCUUCCUGACCCCAGUUCACUUGCCUGUUCACUUGUAUAUACUGUAGUAGUUCAUUUGUUCAUCUUGUUUCAUGUUCAUGUUCAGUGGCGAUUUUGGUUUGGAAACUCUGGUGGGGCCCAUGCAGGAAAAUAUUAUAACGCAAUCCAGAAAUACCACAUAUUACUACCAUCACAAAAAAAAAAGUAGCAAGUGACAGAGGGGACCAAAAUUGCAGCUGAAUAAUGCCAUCACUCAAACGCGAAUCUGACGACAUAUAUUAGGCUAUUAUAGCAAUAGCACCACCAAAUGGCAGCGUUCAAGAUCUCACAAUAUCAAAACUCAAGAAAACAACUACGUGGCAACAAUAAAAACACAACGGCGUACAACCUUUACACAGCAAUCAAUAUACAAAGCCACCACUCACAAUAUACCAAAAAAAGAAGAAGUAUGGUUUAAGUUGCAUUAAGUUUGCAGGCCACCAUACUGUACAAUUAACAAUGAAUCUAGCCUGAUAGAGUGGUUGCCUAUUCAGACCUGGAUAAUCCUGGGUGAAAAUGUAAGUAAGUUUGGGCUAAGAUGGUAAUUACCUGUGCUUUAAGGACAGUGCUGUCUCAGGUCUCCUUUGUGUGGCUGAGGUGAAACACAAGCAUUUUUUUCCGCUUGAACCACUCCUGGUUGAACGAUCUAUUCUUGUCCUUUCCCUCUUGAAUAAUGAUUAAAUCCGUCGGGCGAUGUGGUCCCAAACGUUUUAUCUCCAACUUCUGUUCUAAAGUGCUAAAUCUCACAUGAGACAGAUACUCAACACGAUUCAUCAUUUAAUGAAUGAAACGUCCAUUUGUUGUUAUUUACUGUAACAGUAACUACGUUAGCCAGCUAGCAAGAUCUGAUCGGCUCCCGCCGUAAACCCCGCCCUUUCUACAAAUCAGCCAAUGAGAAGAGCUUUGGGGCACUAAACUUCUGGCCCCACCGCCGAAACAGAAGCGGGCGCUGCGCACGCGCUUGCUCGCGCAACAGCACCAGUUUUCUACACUGCAGCAGACAGGGCCAUCUCGGCUGUGCCCCACCGAGCGGACGCGGAACAGACGAGACGGAGCAACGAACUAUUUCACACACAACUACUACACUACAACAAUUGCGUUCAUCAAAUUAAAACUGCGGACAUGUAAUUAAUUAUUAACAAUUAAUGUAUUAUUAACUUAUGCUCAAUGACAUUUUUGAAAAAAAAAAAAAAGUAUAAUCGUGCCCUGCACGGCAGCGUUCUAUGGUGGGGCCGUGCCCCACUGGCCCCUAAUGCAAAGACGCCACUGUUCAUGUUCAUGUUGUUGUUUAAUUUGUUCAUAUUUAUUCAUGUUCUGUUCUGUUCUUUUUUCUAAUAAGUAAAACAUUUGCAAACUGG